UUACACAUGCAGUCGAGCGGAGAUGAGGUGCUUGCACCUUAUCUUAGCGGCGGACGGGUGAGUAAUGCUUAGGAAUCUGCCUAUUAGUGGGGGACAACAUUCCGAAAGGAAUGCUAAUACCGCAUACGCCCUACGGGGGAAAGCAGGGGAUCUUCGGACCUUGCGCUAAUAGAUGAGCCUAAGUCGGAUUAGCUAGUUGGUGGGGUAAAGGCCUACCAAGGCGACGAUCUGUAGCGGGUCUGAGAGGAUGAUCCGCCACACUGGGACUGAGACACGGCCCAGACUCCUACGGGAGGCAGCAGUGGGGAAUAUUGGACAAUGGGCGGAAGCCUGAUCCAGCCAUGCCGCGUGUGUGAAGAAGGCCUUUUGGUUGUAAAGCACUUUAAGCGAGGAGGAGGCUACUUAGAUUAAUACUCUAGGAUAGUGGACGUUACUCGCAGAAUAAGCACCGGCUAACUCUGUGCCAGCAGCCGCGGUAAUACAGAGGGUGCGAGCGUUAAUCGGAUUUACUGGGCGUAAAGCGUGCGUAGGCGGCUGAUUAAGUCGGAUGUGAAAUCCCUGAGCUUAACUUAGGAAUUGCAUUCGAUACUGGUCAGCUAGAGUAUGGGAGAGGAUGGUAGAAUUCCAGGUGUAGCGGUGAAAUGCGUAGAGAUCUGGAGGAAUACCGAUGGCGAAGCAGCCAUCUGGGCCUAAUACUGACGCUGAGGUACGAAAGCAUGGGGAGCAAACAGGAUUAGAUACCCUGGUAGUCCAUGCCGUAAACGAUGUCUACUAGCCGUU
rnacentral:rRNA from 1 species